rnacentral:rRNA from 1 species
UGCCUUCGGGAACUCUGAGACAGGUGCUGCAUGGCUGUCGUCAGCUCGUGUUGUGAAAUGUUGGGUUAAGUCCCGCAACGAGCGCAACCCUUAUCCUUUGUUGCCAGCGGUCCGGCCGGGAACUCAAAGGAGACUGCCAGUGAUAAACUGGAGGAAGGUGGGGAUGACGUCAAGUCAUCAUGGCCCUUACGAGUAGGGCUACACACGUGCUACAAUGGCGCAUA